rnacentral:rRNA from 1 species
AGCUCUACGUUUAUAUGUGUAGGGUGAGUUCUGCCCAUUGAGAUAAGUUAUAAAUAUUUUAAAAGGCCGCAGUAAUUUGACUGUGCUAAGGUAGCAUAAUCAUUUGUCUUUUAAUUAAAGUCUAGUAUCAACGAAUAUUUCCUUUUUAGCUGUCUCUUUAUUUAAUAAACAGAAUUUACAUUUUAGGUGAAAAUUCCUAAGUAUUUAUAUAAAAGACGAGAAGACCCUAGGAGCUUUAAUUAUUUUCUUUUUUUUAGGUUUAUUGUUUUUGUUGGGGCAACAUUUUUUUUAACAAACUAAUUUUUGCAAAAACUAUUUAUUGAUUAAGUUUAAGUUACCCUAGGGAUAACAGCACAAUUUUAUUAGUAAGCUUGUGACCUCGAUGUUGGAUUAGGUUGUUUAGUAUUCAGAAAAUACUAAUUUUAGUUCUGUUCGAACUCUAGUGUGCCU